GACGAACGCUGGCGGCGCGCCUAACACAUGCAAGUCGAACGAGCGAGAGAGAGCUUGCUUUCUUGAGCGAGUGGCGAACGGGUGAGUAACGCGUGAGGAACCUGCCUCAAAGAGGGGGACAACAGUUGGAAACGACUGCUAAUACCGCAUAAGCCCACGACCCGGCAUCGGGUUGAGGGAAAAGGAGCAAUCCGCUUUGAGAUGGCCUCGCGUCCGAUUAGCUAGUUGGUGAGGUAACGGCCCACCAAGGCGACGAUCGGUAGCCGGACUGAGAGGUUGAACGGCCACAUUGGGACUGGGACACGGCCCAGACUCCUACGGGAGGCAGCAGUGGGGAAUAGUGCAAAAUGGGGGAAACCCUGAUGCAGCGACGCCGCGUGGAGGAAGAAGGUCUUCGGAUUGUAAACUCCUGUUGUUGAGGAAGAUAAUGACGGUACUCAACAAGGAAGUGACGGCUAACUACGUG
rnacentral:rRNA from 1 species